AUCAACUCCUCCUGAGAGCCAUAAAUCUGCCAAGAGUUGUUUUCCAUGUAAGGGUGUGAUACAAUGGGGAACACCUGAUGUUGGAGGAAAGCAGGAGGACUUUAGAGUGGAGUUGCCUUCUAAUCUCUCUGCCACUUCAACUAUGUGACCUGGGGCAAAUGAUAUAAACUCUAUGAGCCUCUUUCCUUAUCUUUAAAAUGAAGAGAAGUAAUACCUACCUUGUAGGGCUGUUGUGAAGAUUAAAUGAAGUAAUGCAUACAGUGCCUAACAAAGUAUUUAACAUCAUAUUUUUUAAAAGCUCAUGAAAUAUUAGUUUUUCUUCCUUCCCCUCUAUUUUCUCUCCUGUUCCCUUUUCUUUCCCUCCUCUGCCCUCUCCUUCCUUCAGAUGUUAGUCUAAAACAGCACCUUGGAUCUAAGCAGCACCUUUGAGAAAGAAAAGACUGCUUCAAGAAUGUCUAGUUGCACCUCCUUUCCGUAUGUGGCCUAAAUGCCUAGGUUGGAUCAAUAGUUUAAUUUUUUUAUUGAACUGUUUAAUAUUGACUAUGGACUUACAUUCACUUUUACUGUUUUCUGUAUAUUUACUUUUGCUUGAAGUGUUUUAAUAUUGACUAUUUACCUCUGCUCAUUUUUAUUGAUUUUCUGUAUUUUUUCAAUGAAAAUUAUAAUAAAAAUUAUUUUUGUUA
rnacentral:sRNA from 1 species